GGUUGAAUGGUGUAACGGUAGCACAUAAGAUUCUGAUUCUUGUGACCUGGGUUCGACUCCCAGUUCGACCU